rnacentral:tRNA from 1 species
GCCUCGGUGGUUUAGUGGUCAAGACGCUCGCCUGGUAAACAGGAGGGCGUGGGUUCAAUCGCAGCCGAGGUA